AGUGAACGCUGGCGGUAGGCCUAACACAUGCGAGUCGAACGGCAGCACAGUAAGAGCUUGCUCUUACGGGUGGCGAGUGGCGGACGGGUGAGGAAUACAUCGGAAUCUACUUUUUCGUGGGGGAUAACGUAGGGAAACUUAUGCUAAUACCGCAUACGACCUACGGGUGAAAGCAGGGGAUCUUCGGACCUUGCGCGAUUGAAUGAGCCGAUGUCGGAUUAGCUAGUUGGCGGGGUAAAGGCCCACCAAGGCGACGAUCCGUAGCUGGUCUGAGAGGAUGAUCAGCCACACUGGAACUGAGACACGGUCCAGACUCCUACGGGAGGCAGCAGUGGGGAAUAUUGGACAAUGGGCGCAAGCCUGAUCCAGCCAUACCGCGUGGGUGAAGAAGGCCUUCGGGUUGUAAAGCCCUUUUGUUGGGAAAGAAAAGCAGCAGGUUAAUACCCCGCUGUUCUGACGGUACCCAAAGAAUAAGCACCGGCUAACUUCGUG
rnacentral:rRNA from 1 species